AACGAACGCUGGCGGCGUGGCUAAGACAUGCAAGUCGAAGGACGAUUGAAUUGGGUAACCGAGACAAUCGUUAGUGGCGAAAGGGUGAGGAAUGGAUAGGUAACGUACCUUUGGCUUCGGAAUAGCGUCCCGAAAGGGGCGGUAAUACCGGAUGAUAUCACAGAGUGCAGGCUUUGUGAUCAAAGAUUUAUCGGCCAAAGAGCGGCCUAUUCCCUAUCAGCUUGUUGGUGAGGUAAUGGCUCACCAAGGCGACGACGGGUAGCGGGACUGAGAGGUUGGCCCGCCACAUCGGGACUGAGACACUGCCCGGACCUCCACGGAGGGCUGCAGUAACGAAUAUUGGGCAAUGGGCGAAAGCCUGACCCAGCGACGCCGCGUGCAGGAGGAAGUCCUUCGGGAUGUAAACUGCUGUCAGGGACUAGAAAGCUACGGUUGAUCAGUCCCAGAGGAAGUCACGGCUAACUUCGUG
rnacentral:rRNA from 1 species